rfam:Aedes albopictus isolate Foshan contig59057, whole genome shotgun sequence.
UAGCUUAGUGGUUAAGGCUAUGGAUCGCCAAUCCGGAGACGGCGGGUUCGAUUCCCGU